rnacentral:rRNA from 1 species
UACGUAGGGUGCGAGCGUUAAUCGGAAUUACUGGGCGUAAAGCGUGCGCAGGCGGUUCUCCAAGUCCGUUGUGAAAGCCCCGGGCUCAACCUGGGAAUGGCAGUGGAAACUAGGGGACUUGAAUCUGGCAGAGGGGGGUGGAAUUCCACGGUGUAGCAGUGAAAUGCGUAGAGAUGUGGAGGAACACCGAUGGCGAAGGCAGCCCCCUGGGCUGAGAUUGACGCUCAGGCACGAAAGCGUGGGGAGCAAACAG